UAGGGAAUAUUCCACAAUGAGCGAAAGCUUGAUGGAGCGACACAGCGUGCACGAUGAAGGCCCUCGGGUUGUAAAGUGCUGUUGCAAGGGAAGAACACUUAGUUGAGGAAAUGCAACUAAGCUGACGGUACCUUGUUAGAAAGCGAUGGCUAACUAUGUGCCAGCAGCCGCGGUAAUACAUAGGUCGCAAGCGUUAUCCGGAAUUAUUGGGCGUAAAGCGUUCGUAGGCUGUUUAUUAAGUCUGGAGUCAAAUCCCAGGGCUCAACCCUGGCUCGCUUUGGAUACUGGUAAACUAGAGUUGGAUAGAGGUAAGCGGAAUUCCAUGUGAAGCGGUGAAAUGCGUAGAUAUAUGGAAGAACACCAAAGGCGAAGGCAGCUUACUGGGUCUAUACUGACGCUGAGGGACGAAAGCGUGGGGAGCAAACAGGAUUAGAUACCCUGGUAGUCCACGCCGUAAACGAUGAUCAUUAGUCGGUGGGAGCCACUGACGCAGCUAACGCAUUAAAUGAUCCGCCUGAGUAGUAUGCUCGCAAGAGUG
rnacentral:rRNA from 1 species